rnacentral:rRNA from 1 species
CAUGAAGUCGGAAUUGCUAGUAAUCGCGGAUCAGCAUGCCGCGGUGAAUACGUUCCCGGGCCUUGUACACACCGCCCGUCACACCAUGAGAGCCGGUAAUACCCGAAGUCCGUAGCCUAACCGCAAGGGGGCGCGGCCGAAGGUAGGACUGGUAAUUAGGGUGAAGUCGUAACAAGGUAGC